rnacentral:rRNA from 1 species
GGCCUUGACAUACUAAGAACUUUCCAGAGAUGGAUUGGUGCCUUCGGGAACUUAGAUACAGGUGCUGCAUGGCUGUCGUCAGCUCGUGUCGUGAGAUGUUGGGUUAAGUCCCGNAACGAGCGCAACCUUUUCCUAUUUGCCAGCGGGUCAUGCCGGGAACUUUAAGGAUACUGCCAGUGACAAACUGGAGGAAGGCGGGGACGACGUCAAGUCAUCAUGGCCCUUACGGCCAGGGCUACACACGUGCUACAAUGGUCGGUACAAAGGGUUGCUACCUCGCGAGAGGAUGCUAAUCUCAAAAAGCCGAUCGUAGUCCGGAUCGCAGUCUGCAACUCGACUGCGUGAAGUCGGAAUCGCUAGUAAUCGCGGAUCAGAAUGCCGCGGUGAAUACGUUCCCGGGCCUUGUACACACCGCCCGUCACACCAUGGGAGUUUGUUGCACCAGAAGUAGGUAGUCUAACCGCAAGGAGGACGCUUACCACGGUGUGGCCGAUGACUGGGGUGAAGUCGUAACAAGGUAGGCGUAGAUGA